ACAUUUGGUGCACUACCUCACAGAAGGGGGCGUUCCCGGUCUGAAGCAGAGCUCAGGACAUUUCAGCACCGAGCUCAGUGUGGAGGGAGAGCUGAGUGAGGAGGGACGUUGCUGCUCGGCCCAAGUGGAUACAAGCCAAGAUGUUCUUCCUUCUCGAAAAACCCUCCUUCUAAAACGGUUCUUUUUUCAAGCUGGGAACAUAAGUAAGGCUCGUGAAUCUACCGCGAGGUGACCAGCCGAGACAGAUGAGUCCGUGGUCUCUCUGAGUCCUGUGGUAACCUCUGCCUUUGUUCGUGACAUCUGUCCUUCACCUCCAGGAUGGAUCAUUUAGAGAAGGAGCACAGGUCGGACGAGGAGGCUGAAUAUGAAGAGGAGGAGGUGGACCCCAGAAUCCAGGGGGAGCUGGAGAAACUCAACCAGUCCACAGACGACAUCAACAGAUGUGAGACGGAGCUGG